rnacentral:rRNA from 1 species
UACGAAGGGGGCUAGCGUUGCUCGGAAUCACUGGGCGUAAAGCGCACGUAGGCGGAUUGUUAAGUCAGGGGUGAAAUCCCGAGGCUCAACCUCGGAACUGCCUUUGAUACUGGGGAUCUCGAGUCCGGGAGAGGUGAGUGGAACUGCGAGUGUAGAGGUGAAAUUCGUAGAUAUUCGCAAAGAACACCAGUGGCGAAGGCGGCUCACUGGCCCGGAACUGACGCUGAGGUGCGAAAACGUGGGGAGCAAACAGG